GAUGAACGCUGGCGGCGUGCCUAAUACAUGCAAGUCGAGCGAACAGACGAGGAGCUUGCUCCCCUGACGUUAGCGGCGGACGGGUGAGUAACACGUGGAUAACCUACCUAUAAGACUGGGAUAAUUUCGGGAAACCGGAGCCAAUACUGGAUAAUAUAUUGAACCGCAUGGUUCAAUAGUGAAAGACGGUUUUGCCGUCACUUAUAGAUGGAUCCGCGCCGCAUUAGCUAGUUGGUAAGGUAACGGCUUACCAAGGCGACGAUGCGUAGCCGACCUGAGAGGGUGAUCAGCCACACUGGAACUGAGACACGGUCCAGACUCCUACGGGAGGCAGCAGUAGGGAAUCUUCCGCAAUGGGCGAAAGCCUGACGGAGCAACGCCGCGUGAGUGAUGAAGGUCUUCGGAUCGUAAAACUCUGUUAUUAGGGAAGAACAAAUGUGUAAGUAACUAUGCACGUCUUGACGGUACCUAAUCAGAAAGCCACGGCUAACUACGUG
rnacentral:rRNA from 1 species